CCUACGGGGGGCAGCAGUGAGGAAUAUUGGUCAAUGGGCGCGAGCCUGAACCAGCCAAGUAGCGUGAAGGAUGACUGCCCUACGGGUUGUAAACUUCUUUUAUAAAGGAACAAAGUGUGGCACGUGUGCCCUUUUGUAUGUACUUUAUGAAUAAGGAUCGGCUAACUCCGUGCCAGCAGCCGCGGUAAUACGGAGGAUCCGAGCGUUAUCCGGAUUUAUUGGGUUUAAAGGGAGCGUAGAUGGGAUGUUAAGUCAGUUGUGAAAGUUUGCGGCUCAACCGUAAAAUUGCAUUUGAAACUGGCAGCCUUGAGUACAGUUGAGGUAGGCGGAAUUCGUGGUGUAGCGGUGAAAUGCUUAGAUAUCACGAAGAACUCCGAUUGCGAAGGCAGCUUGCUAGACUGCCACUGACAUUGAUGCUCGAAAGUGUGGGUAUCAAACAGGAUUAGAUACCCCUGUAGUC
rnacentral:rRNA from 1 species